rnacentral:tRNA from 1 species
GGCUGAGUGGUUGAAAGCACCGGUCUUGAAAACCGGCGAACCUUUGCGGGUUCCGAGAGUUCGAAUCUCUUGCUCUCCGCCA